rnacentral:lncRNA from 1 species
GUAACAAUCCUAUAAUCACCUUCAAUUAGAAUCCAGCAGUUUCCCCAGAUAUCACACGAAUAAAACUUCAUGUAACAAUUUCUCAAUGAGAUUAAGUGGCACAUGACAUUGAUAUAUGAACUACAACUUAACUAUUUUGGACAACCAUCAGAUCUCGUUCUAGUCAACCAUAUCAGUGUGUCUUUUGCUUCUCCUGUACCAUAGACAUAUAGAAGCAGAAACAAAAUUCAUUGGAAAACUGUGUGACUUGGUUCCAAGUUCCAUUGAUGUAAAAAUGACAACUCAUCCAUUGAUGUAACGAGUUCUUGCUAUCAGAAGCUAUUAUUGUCUAACUUACCUGAGAUAUUGCUUGAAUUUGAUUAAUCUCUGCUUCUUAUGCAUGCAAUUUUUCUUCCAACAUCAUGCAGAACUCAGUUGACAGGAUCAGGACAACAAAUAAAAAUUCAUAAUAAACAGAAAUGAUUCAAAAAAUAACAGUUAACAGGACCAGGACAGCAAAUGAAAGUCAUUAACAUAAAACAUUAAUCAUGUAAGUUUUACACUCUCCGUUGAUGUUGAAACUGUAAUCUUGGUGGGAGGAGGCAUGGACUCAAAAAGAAAAUACGUGGGAAAGCACACAACAAAUUUGGGGAGUUAGAGAGAGGUGAUAUUCACUUCAAAUAUUCUCUGCAAUAAUACUUAUAAGCAAGAAUUGGUCACUUAGAGAUAAUAAUGCCCAAUUUUAAAUUAUAAGCCUGUUUCAUUAGAUAAAAAUGGCCUGUGCUCAUGAGGUAUUGAAUUCUGAUCUCGCUCAUCCUUGUGCAGCUUUGUUGGAUAACAUCAGAAGGAUCAGAUCUCAUGAUUGGAAGACUUAAGAUUAAAAAUAGAGAGAAAAAUAAAUUUUAGAGAGGUUGAAAGACCCUUAUUA